rnacentral:lncRNA from 1 species
GGGUAACCACCGUGUGUACUUGCAGAUGUUGCAGCCUUCCUUUUAUUGAAGCCUCCAUUGCUGAGAAAUAAUUCUCUUCCUUUCGUUUGGAUCAUGCUUUAUUGAUUAUCUGAUCUCUAUUCCAGGCUAGGUGCUAGAGACAGAGAGACGAAAAGACCUGAGACCCAAUCAUCGUCUGUUUCUUUUGGCACCUCACCGUGGAGACUUUGGAUUGCAGAAGGAGUCAGAAGUCUCCAAAUGGCCAGACUUUCCUUACCAAGUCUGCCGAAUUGAAGAUGAAGGAGAGUGGAGCAGUUGGAUGCCCGAGUCUGCAGCAAUGAGUACUGUGGCCCUGUUGAGGACAUAGAGGUACAGCAGAGGCCGGAACCUGCCUGCAUCAUCAGUGUAGGCUUCCCUGUGUGCACAGUCACCACGGAGACCUCCUACUCCAAGUGAGAAUCCCACUUCAGUCUUUGGAAGAGAGCUGCCCUGGGAGCCAAGAGACACCAUGGAGGCACAGUGUAAGGGAUGAUGUAAUCUCUCCCAUUUCCUGGAGGACAGAAACCAUGGCUUCCUGUACUCCCGACGUUUGUGUAAUGACAAGAACACUCCAAAGCAGGUUAGGCACUCUUUGAGUAAGUUGGCCUUCUUAUUUCUGGGGAUAAUUUUGACACUGAAUAUAGUUUCUGUGAAAAGGCCAAUCGAAAAAUGUGGUCAAAGCUCCAACAGCCAUAAGACUUAUGAGCUGGAUUAAUCUGCUU